rnacentral:rRNA from 1 species
UACGAAGGGUGCAAGCGUUACUCGGAAUUACUGGGCGUAAAGCGUGCGUAGGUGGUUCGUUAAGUCUGAUGUGAAAGCCCUGGGGCUCAACCUGGGGAAUGGCAUUGGAAACUGGCGACCUAGAGUGCGGGUAGAGGGGUAGGUGGGAAUUCCCGGUUGUAGCAGUGGAAAAAUGCGUAGAGGAUCGAGAGGGAAACACCCGGGUGGGCGAAA